CACGUAGGCACCAAGCGUUGUCCGGAUUUAUUGGGCGUAAAGAGCUCGUAGGCGGUUCAGUAAGUCAGGUGUGAAAUCCCCAGGCUCAACCUGGGAACUGCAUCCGAUACUGGAUGGCUUGAAUUCGGGAGAGGGAUGCAGAAUUCCAGGUGUAGCGGUGAAAUGCGUAGAUAUCUGGAGGAAUACCGGUGGCGAAGGCGGCAUCCUGGACCGACAUUGACGCUGAGGAGCGAAAGCCAGGGGAGCAAACGGG
rnacentral:rRNA from 1 species